UUCUUGCCUUUCCAAAGGAGAGAAAAAAAAAGCUCUUCUGAGUUCUGAUCGCCUGAGUAGAGAGACUGGAGAGGGAGAUGGAAACUGAUCUGUCGCUCAUAGAAAUGAGCGGUGAAGAGGAAGACGAGUCACUACUACUACUGCGAGAGGAUAUCAACAAGGACAAGGAAGGCAACACCAACGGCAGUCUUCUUGAUCUCGAAUUCUCUUGCUCUCCACUCUGUACUCUCAGAUCUAAGCGUUCUUCUGCUGAUGCAUCCCAUCCUCCUACAAUCCAUCCUGUCCCAGACGGGUCUGAGGUGAAUGAGGGUGGGAAGAAACCUUGUUGUUCAUCACCACCAUCUCCGCAUGAAGGCAUCGUAGACAACAAAGAGAAUCUCGACAAAAGCAAUUUACUUGUGUCACCGAACAUGAAGGCUGGGCAGCAGCAAAUGAAGAGAAGAAAAAAGGGAGGUGGAUACAAUAUGCGUAAAAGCAUAGCCUGGAACAGAGCUUUCUUUACCGAAGAAGGUGUUCUCGAUUCUGAAGAAUUGUCCUUACUGAGUGAAUCUUUCAGUAAGCCUAGCCCUGGGUCCCUAUAUACUGUCAAGGAAGAAGAACAGACAUCACUGUCCGAGUGUUCUAUCUCAAGUGGUAAUGGAUCAAAUGUACAUUCUAACAAGGAGAAGUUAUUCAAAGAAUUGCCUGCAAGGCCUUCUGAUGAAGUUCACAAGGUUUGUGGUGGUUUAUUGCCCAAAUUAAAGUCUCCAGCUCGAGAAAAUACAGCUCCGAUGCAUAGGGCCUCACAGAAGGUGCAAUUAACCAAAGGAAUUCACAGUGUUGGGUCUCGACAAGGAAGUUGUCCCCAGCCAGUGGGUUCUACUUCUCAGAAGCAGCUUCCCAACAGAAACGCAACAAGUGCAACAAAGAAAGAAUCAAAACUUCCUAAAUUCUCAGCUACGAAGCCAGAUUCUUCUUCAAUACCUACUACCCCCAAAACCUUUAAUUUGUCUACCAAGCAGUCAAGGUCCAGUCAGAAUGGUGCAACAGCAGUUCAUGCAGGGAGGAAUUCUGGAUUGAAAGGAAACUUAAGUAAUGCUAAAAAAACUCUUGGCUGCACUCCCUCAUCCACUAAAUCCUCUGUGCGCAGUUCUCUGAAAGUCUUGGCCAACUCUCAUUCAAAAACACAAUUAGCAGCCAAUCCCAAGACACUUCAGGAUAGAAAAGGUACUAAAAUUGGGUUGAAGGUGGCUUCAGAUCCAACAAUUCCUGCUGCUGAUAUGCAAGCAUCCACUGGUCAGGCUGGUCCAGGCAAAACGGCUGUUCUGCUCCCACAAAACUCCCAAUAUGUUGGUGUGGACAAUCAAAAUAACGUGAAUUUCCAACCAACCAAACCAUCAGGUUUGCGGAUGCCUUCUCCUUCGCUACGAUACUUUGAUCAGCAGACAAAAGCUUCAACUCUGCGCGGCUUGCAAUGUCAAAUGAAUACUCAACCAUACAGUCAUCCGGAUGCUAAUGUUCCUAACUCGAGGAAGGAUGGUAAAUCUGAGAAUAUUGGUAUGGUCACAGCUCUCCAUGCACCUCUGCCUAUGGUGGGUCAUGAUGCCACAACCACAAGAACCAUGGGGCACUUAAGUUCAGGCAAUAAUGAUGAGGUCAAGCUGCUCCAUGCACAGAGUAGAUUGGCCAUGGUGGGCACUGCUGCUGCAAGUAACAAUGACAUGGUCUCCGUGAACUCAACUUUGGGGUGCUCCAUUCCUUCUGCACCUGCUUCUUCUCAUCCAACCCCAAAAUCAAGCUUAGAGCUUAAGAAUCAGUACAAGGUGGAAAUCGAAGUUCCCUCUCAUCUCAAUGGUUCUUAUGACACAAUAAAUUGUCAGGAUCAGCAGGCACAUGGUGUUUCUGAUUGUGGUAACAAGGAAUCUGCGAACCUGGCUGAUGUAGUGAAACCCAUCCUUGACGAAAUUGACCAUAUUCCUCAUGACAAUAAGCAGAGAUUCCAUAUGAACGAUAAUAUGUUGCUCAUACGAAGCGGAUCUCCUGAACAAUCCCAUAAGUCUAAUGAUUUUGAGAACCAUCAUGAUGUUUGUCCUCAAAAUAGCUAUUCCAGGUCAAGUGCAUCAGAAAUAUCACAGGCUUCAUCUCCAUCCAUUUCCACAAUGGCAGAGAAAGGGGUUUUGAGUGGGAAAGAAGGCCUAAUCAAGCACCCAAUUUAUGAAGGUGUGGCAUUGGAAUCUAUAAGUUGCAGUGCAUUAAAUGAAAAUCAUGAUGUUUUCUCUGAUACAGUGUUAUCUGAUGCCACUGAGUGUUGCAACCCAGGGACAUCAAUGCCAAGUGCUGAUUGCUUACCAGCUGGUCAUGGUUUAAGAGAAGAGUCCAAUGAACAAUUAGAGGUUAGAGAGCCUGGUGCUUUUGAAUUUUGCCAAACCUUUCACAAGGAUAACCUGAAAAAGCAGAUGAAAGGUAACAAUUUUCUGGGACAAAGAACUGAAGAAUUUCAGGAAGAGAAUGAUAUUCCUACUGAACUGGAUAUUCAGCAAAAUUUUCAUAUGGAUUAUGAAAAAUUGGAGAUGAAUGAUGAUAACUUGGUUGGACAAGGAAGACCUUCUGAAGAAUUACAAAAGGUGAAUAAUCAUUGCCAUGUUAGUGAUGUUAAUCCAGAAAGCAGGGUCUCAGAUGGAACUGAAUUUGGAAGUUCUCAUUUUUCAUCUAACCUAAGCUCUGUAAGCCAAGUGCAAGUAGGUACCCCUGGAACAGGUAACGUAAUUAAGAGCCCAAAUGUGGAAGAUCCAAAAUUGGAGUCUUUACAUGGCGACUUAUCAUUUGACAGGGUUAACCACAUCUGUGAUCCACAAUUAGAAGAUGUUGCUUGCAAAUGCAACACUGGUUCUUUGGUGCUGCACAAUGAUUGCUUGAGACUUGGUGAGGAUGAAUAUUCCGGGAAUCAAGCAGUGCUAAGAAAUUCUUUCCCUAAUAAAACUGAACAGAUGUUGCAGAUGAAUGAACAUACACUGCUGAUGGAUAAUGAGGCAUUGCUAGCAGAAAUGAGGUUUUCCAAAGAAGCCCAGCAAGAUAAUGAUCCUGACAACCUUAUUAACAUCACUUUGAAAAGAAAGGAUUGUAAUGCAAGUGAAUCCCAAAGCCCUCAUGUUCUUCCUCAGCUAAAACUUGCAAAACAAGAUAUCGAAGUUUCAGCUGAAACAUCUAAGGUGACUAAACAAUCACAUGUGCAAGAUGCAGCACAACUGAACAUAUCAGCAAAUAGAAAUGUCUUACUAGAUGCUAUUCACGCUGAUCUGUUUCAUAAUGAUAAUACUCAAGAUGGUGAACUUCAGAAUGUGACAGAGACUGGAUUUCCUUUGAAGGUCAAUGAGACAAGUGUCCCAGUUGAAGGAAAAACUGUGGAUGGUUCAAAGCCUGAUUCUCUUCCUCAGCAGAACAUUGUUCCAUUUUCUGAUGAAUGGUUAGCUGCUCUUGAGACUGCCGGGGAGGAGAUUCUGACAAGAAAAAGUGGAGCUGUGCAAAACUCACCACCUGACAAGUCUCUUCCGGAACCCAGCCCAUGGUCCCCGGCUUAAAGCUAAUGAUGAGGGCCUAGUGGUAACUAGUAGAGGUUAUCAGACUGAAGUGGUGCAUUUUAUAAGGUGAAACGGAAGAGCAACCAAGAGAUUGGUCCAUUUGACUGCACAAAGUACACUAACUUGCCGAGCAGCCCCAAGUGACUUAUAGCCAUGGUGGUAGCCUUCGGGUCUUUUCUUGCUUACAUGAUGUAACGAUUU